rnacentral:rRNA from 1 species
AACGAACGCUGGCGGCGUGCCUAACACAUGCAAGUCGAACGAGAAAGGGGCUUCGGCUCCGAGUAAAGUGGCGCACGGGUGAGUAACACGUAGGUAACCUGCCUCCAAGAUUGGGAUAACAUGCCGAAAGACGUGCUAAUACCGGAUAAGACCACGACUUCCUCGGAAGCUGGGGUCAAAGAUAGCCUCUACGUGUAAGCUAUCACUUAGAGAUGGGCCUGCGUACCAUUAGCUAGUUGGUAGGGUAACGGCCUACCAAGGCAAAGAUGGUUAGCUGGUCUGAGAGGAUGAUCAGCCACACUGGAACUGAGACACGGUCCAGACUCCUACGGGAGGCAGCAGUGGGGAAUAUUGCGCAAUGGGCGAAAGCCUGACGCAGCAACGCCGCGUGAGUGAUGAAGGCCUUCGGGUCGUAAAGCUCUGUCGGAGGGAACGAAUGUUUCCAGGGUUAACAGCCCCGGGAAGUGACGGUACCCUCAAAGGAAGCACCGGCUAACUCUGUGC